rnacentral:RNase_P_RNA from 1 species
GAGGAAAGUCCAUGCUCACACAAUCUGAGAUGAUUGUAGUGUUCGUGCUUGAUGAAACCAUAAGUCAAGGCAAUACAUUUAUUGACGGCAACGACCUAACCUAAGUCUUUUGAUACGGUUACAAUAGUUUGAAAGUGCCACAGUGACGUAGCUUCAGUUAGAAAUAACGAAGGUGGAACGCGGUAAACCCCUCGAGUGAGCAAUCCAAAUUUGGUAGGAGCACUUGUCUAACGGAAAUGAACGUAUAGACGAG